rnacentral:rRNA from 1 species
AUUGAACGCUGGCGGCAUGCUUUACACAUGCAAGUCGAACGGCAGCGCGGGCUUCGGCCUGGCGGCGAGUGGCGAACGGGUGAGUAAUGCAUCGGAACGUGCCCAGUCGUGGGGGAUAGCCCGGCGAAAGCCGGAUUAAUACCGCAUACGACCUGAUGGUGAAAUCGGGGGACCGAAAGGCCUCGCGCUAUUUGAGCGGCCGAUGUCGGUUUCGCUAGUUGGUGGGGUAAAGGCUUACCAAGGCGACGAUCCGUAACUGGUCUGAGAGGACGACCAGCCACACUGGGACUGAGACACGGCCCAGACUCCUACGGGAGGCAGCAGUGGGGAAUUUUGGACAAUGGGGGCAACCCUGAUCCAGCAAUGCCGCGUGCGGGAAGAAGGACUUCGGGUUGUAAACCGAUUUUGUUCGGGAAGAAAUACUCUGGGCUAAUACCCCGGGGGGAUGACGGUACCGGAAGAAUAAGCACCGGCUAACUACGUG